GCCUGGGUGGCUAGGUUGGUUAAGUGUCUGACUUUGGCUCAGGUCAUGAUCUCACAGUUCAUGGGUUCAAGUCCCAUGUCAGGUU
rnacentral:tRNA from 1 species